rnacentral:rRNA from 1 species
GACGAACGCUGGCGGCGUGCCUAACACAUGCAAGUCGAACGGAAAGACCCUGCUUUUGCGGGGUGCUCGAGUGGCGAACGGGUGAGUAACACGUGAGUAACCUGCCCUUGACUUUGUGAUAACUUCAGGAAACUGGGGCUAAUACCGGCUAGGAGCUCCUGCAGCAUGGUGGGGGUUGGAAAGUUUCGGCGGUUGGGGAUAGACUCGCGGCUUAUCAGCUUGUUGGGGGGGUAGUGGCUUACCAAGCCUUUGACGGGUAGCCGGCCUGGGAGCGGAAACGGGGACAUGGGUCCUACGGGACGCCGCAGUGUCGAACGGGAGGCAGUGGGGGAGAGCAUGACACAAUGGGGGGGCGCGUGAGGCAGCGACGCCGCGUGCGGGAAGACGGCUUUCGGGGGGUGAACCGCUGUCGGCUGAGACGUAGCGGGAGUGACGGUAAUGGGUAAAGAAGCACCGGCUAACUACGUG